UACGUAGGGUGCGAGCGUUGCCCGGAUUUAUUGGGCGUAAAGGGCGCGUAGGCGGCCACGCACGUCCGUUGUGAAAUCGCCCGGCUCAACUGGGCGGGGUCAGCGGAUACGGUGUGGCUCGAGCAAGCUAGGGGGCAAUGGAAUUCCCGGUGUAGUGGUGGAAUGCGUAGAUAUCGGGAGGAACACCAGUGGCGAAGGCGGUUGCCUGGAGCUUUGCUGACGCUGAUGCGCGAAAGCGUGGGGGAGCGAGUCCGG
rnacentral:rRNA from 1 species